CGGGGUGUAGCGCAGUCUGGUAGCGCGCCUGCUUUGGGAGCAGGGGGUCGGAGGUUCGAAUCCUCUCGCCCCGACCA
rnacentral:tRNA from 2 species